AACCCUGAUAAGGGGACACCGAGUGCCAGCAUCAUAUGCUGGCUGUCCGGGUGUGUAAAAUACACCUGUUAGCAAGGGCCGGGCAAGACCGGUGCCAGCCGCCGCGGUAACACCGGCGGCCCGAGUGGUGAUCGUGAUUAUUGGGUCUAAAGGGUCCGUAGCCGGUUUGGUCAGUCCUCCGGGAAAUCUGACGGCUUAACCGUUAGGCUUUCGGGGGAUACUGCCAGACUUGGAACCGGGAGAGGUAAGAGGUACUACAGGGGUAGGAGUGAAAUCUUGUAAUCCCUGUGGGACCACCUGUGGCGAAGGCGUCUUACCAGAACGGGUUUGACGGUGAGGGACGAAAGCUGGGGGCACGAACCGGAUUAGAUACCCGGGUAGUCCCAGCCGUAAACGAUGCUCGCUAGGUGUCAGGCAUGGCGCGACCGUGUCUGGUGCCGCAGGGAAGCCGUGAAGCGAGCCACCUGGGAAGUACGGCCGCAAGGCUGAAACUUAA
rnacentral:rRNA from 1 species